GCGUCUGAUUUGAUGCUUGCAUUGAUGAAAGAUGAGCGGCGGACGGGUGAGUAACACGUGGAUAACCUACCUAUAAGACUGGGAUAACUUCGGGAAACCGGAGCUAAUACCGGAUAAUAUUUUGAACCGCAUGGUUCAAAAGUGAAAGACGGUCUUGCUGUCACUUAUAGAUGGAUCCGCGCUGCAUUAGCUAGUUGGUAAGGUAACGGCUUACCAAGGCAACGAUGCAUAGCCGACCUGAGAGGGUGAUCGGCCACACUGGAACUGAGACACGGUCCAGACUCCUACGGGAGGCAGCAGUAGGGAAUCUUCCGCAAUGGGCGAAAGCCUGACGGAGCAACGCCGCGUGAGUGAUGAAGGUCUUCGGAUCGUAAAACUCUGUUAUUAGGGAAGAACAUAUGUGUAAGUAACUGUGCACAUCUUGACGGUACCUAAUCAGAAAGCCACGGCUAACUACGUGCCAGCAGCCGCGGUAAUACGUAGGUGGCAAGCGUUAUCCGGAAUUAUUGGGCGUAAAGCGCGCGUAGGCGGUUUUUUAAGUCUGAUGUGAAAGCCCACGGCUCAACCGUGGAGGGUCAUUGGAAACUGGAAAACUUGAGUGCAGAAGAGGAAAGUGGAAUUCCAUGUGUAGCGGUGAAAUGCGCAGAGAUAUGGAGGAACACCAGUGGCGAAGGCGACUUUCUGGUCUGUAACUGACGCUGAUGUGCGAAAGCGUGGGGAUCAAACAGGAUUAGAUACCCUGGUAGUCCACGCCGUAAACGAUGAGUGCUAAGUGUUAGGGGGUUUCCGCCCCUUAGUGCUGCAGCUACGCAGUAAGCACUCCGCCUG
rnacentral:rRNA from 1 species